rnacentral:rRNA from 1 species
GUGGGGAAUUUUGGACAAUGGGCGCAAGCCUGAUCCAGCAAUGCCGCGUGUGCGAAGAAGGCCUUCGGGUUGUAAAGCACUUUUGUCCGGAAAGAAAACCUCGUGGUUAAUACCCGUGGGGGAUGACGGUACCGGAAGAAUAAGCACCGGCUAACUACGUGCCAGCAGCCGCGGUAAUACGUAGGGUGCGAGCGUUAAUCGGAAUUACUGGGCGUAAAGCGUGCGCAGGCGGUCCGCUAAGACCGAUGUGAAAUCCCCGGGCUUAACCUGGGAACUGCAUUGGUGACUGGCGGGCUAGAGUGUGGCAGAGGGGGGUAGAAUUCCACGUGUAGCAGUGAAAUGCGUAGAGAUGUGGAGGAAUACCGAUGGCGAAGGCAGCCCCCUGGGCUAACACUGACGCUCAUGCACGAAAGCGUGGGGAGCAAAC